rnacentral:rRNA from 1 species
AUUGAACGCUGGCGGCAGGCCUAACACAUGCAAGUCGAGCGAGCGGCGGACGGGUGAGUAAUGUCUGGGAAACUGCCUGAUGGAGGGGGAUAACUACUGGAAACGGUAGCUAAUAACGCAUACCAUCAGAUGUGCCCAGAUGGGAUGAGCUAGUCGGUGGGGUAACGGCUCACCUAGGCGACGACCCCUAGCUGGUCUGAGAGGAUGACCAGCCGCACGGGACAUGAGACACGGGCCAGACUCCUACGGUAGGCAGCAGUGGGGAAUAUGGGACAAUGGGCGAGAGCCUGAUCCAGCCUUGCCGCGUGUGUGAAGAAGGCCUUCGGAUUGUAGAGCACUUUAAGUUGGGAGGCGUUACCAACAGAAUAAGCACCGGCUAACUUCGUGCCAGCAGCCGCGGUAAUUC